rnacentral:rRNA from 1 species
UACAGAGGGUGCGAGCGUUGUUCGGAAUUAUUGGGCGUAAAGGGCGCGUAGGCGGUGCCACAAGUCACCUGUGAAAUCUCCGGGCUUAACUCGGAGCCUGCAGGCGAAACUGUGGUGCUGGAGUAUGGGAGAGGUGCGUGGAAUUCCCGGUGUAGCGGUGAAAUGCGUAGAUAUGCGGAGGAACACCGAUGGCGAAGGCAAUCCCCUGGGCCUGCACUGACGCUCAUGC